rnacentral:tRNA from 1 species
CUUACUUUAGUUUAAAUUAGAAUGGGGGUUUUGGGGAUCUUUGGUCUCGGUUUGUGGAGAAGUUUGG